rnacentral:tRNA from 3 species
UACGGGGUCGUCUAACUGGCAGGACCGCUGACUUUGAAUCAGUAAAUCCAGGUUCAAACCCUGGCCCCGUAG